UUAGACGAAAACACCAGCUGGUGGAGCCAAAUUACUUUGUACGUUUGCAUUUUGUAUGGUUGCCAACAGCCAGCCACCUUCUAACUACAUUUUUUUGGGCUUAUUUAAAGUCCUUAGCGUAUGGCAAUGGAGCGUUUGGCGAAGUUUCGUAAUCGAUAUCAAGCUGGUCGGAGGAGAAAAAGGAGGAGAACGAGGCGGCGAUGGAAAGCUUGAUCUCUCUUUUUUUGCAAGCUUUACAUCCAUCGCCCAUGAUCUGCCUGGCUGGAUUUCAAAACACGAACGCGGCUAGUCGCCAGCCUUAUCCAUCGAAAG
rnacentral:lncRNA from 1 species